rnacentral:tRNA from 1 species
GGCGCUGUAGCUCAGUGGUAGAGCGCCUGCCUUAUACAUGUGAGGUAAUGGGUUCAAUCCUCAGUACCA